rnacentral:rRNA from 1 species
UACGUAGGCAGCAAGCGUUGUUCGGAGUUACUGGGCGUAAAGGGUGUGUAGGUGGCUUUUUAAGUCCGCCGUCAAAUCCCAGGGCUCAACUCUGGACAGGCGGUGGAAACUACCAAGCUGGAGUACGGUAGGGGCAGAGGGAAUUUCCGGUGGAGCGGUGAAAUGCGUAGAGAUCGGGAAGAACACCAACGGCGAAAGCACUCUGCUGGGCCGACACUGACACUGAGAGACGAAAGCUAGGGGAGCGAAUGGG